GGUAGGCCAUUUCAAUAAUUCUAUUUGUUUCAGGCAUUGGUAGAUUGUGUUACAACUGAAGAGUUUCUUGUGCUAAUACUUGCAGAUCUCGACACACCCUGAACAAUGAGCACAUGUUACCAGCCACAUUCCACACAGGAUGUGUUCUUUUCAAAACAAAGAUACCCUGAUACAUGAUUAUUCCUCUUUCAAGUUCUUGAUCCUUGAAGAUACUUGCUAGGUUUCUAGCUGAUUUUUCGGUAGUAUAAGGCUAUAAGCUCGAUGUAUAUGGCCUGAAUAUGAUCUGAUUCAGAGUACAUUGUGUUCUGAAGCUUUUUACUGUAUGGUUCUCUCUUGAAAGAAUUCAAGCCAUUGUUCAAUGGGAGAGAAUAGUUGUAAUCCUCAAAUAACUGUCGUACCUAUUCAUCAGCUGACACGAUUGCCACCGAGAUCAUUAUUUUCCUUUUUUUCAGGUUUUCAACAUCACGAAUUUCAUACUUAUGGAGUGGAGCUACCAAAAUAUCUAUUGAG
rnacentral:lncRNA from 1 species